rnacentral:rRNA from 1 species
AACGUAGGACGCAAGCGUUAAUCGGAAUUACUGGGCGUAAAGCGUGCGCAGGCGGUUUUGUAAGCCAGAUGUGAAAUCCCCGGGCUUAACCUGGGAAUGGCAUUUGGGACUGCAAGGCUGGAGUGUGGCAGAGGAGACUGGAAUUCCUGGUGUAGCAGUGAAAUGCGUAGAUAUCAGGAGGAAUACCGAUGGCGAAGGCAGGUCUCUGGGCUGACACUGACGCUCAUGCACGAAAGCGUGGGGAGCAAACAGG